rnacentral:rRNA from 1 species
GACAGAGGUGCCGAGCGUUAGGCGGAAUCACUGGGCUUAAAGCGUGUGUAGGCGGACCGUUAAGUACCUUGUGAAAUCCCCCGGCUCAACCGGGGAACGGCUGGGUAUACUGGCGGUCUUGAGCCAUCCAGGGGCAGUCGGAACAGACGGUGGAGCGGUGAAAUGCGUAGAUAUCGUCUGGAACGCCGAAGGUGAAAACAGACUGCUGGGGAUGUGCUGACGCUGAGACACGAAAGCCAGGGGAGCGAACGGG